GCCUCAAGACCCACAGGGCCACGUGCUGAA
rnacentral:piRNA from 1 species